UGCAAGAAAGCCUAACACUUACGUGUUUCCCCACGUGCAUCCAUGACUGGGAAAACACCCGCAAGGUCCCGACACCUGCAAAUAAGAAAAGAACAUUGUUAGAAGUGCUAAAUAAGGUCACAGAUCAUUAUACUUACGUACUUCGCAUGUGCAACGGCAACGGACGAACAACGCUCGCAACAUCUCAAGACCUGAAAACAGAAAACAAGGGACUUUAUUGAGGUGUCAUUGAAAUUCCCAUACCUACGUACAACUGCACGUGUCGCGCUCUCAGUGACCACGCCCUCAGCAUUCAGGCACCUGAAAAAGACAAUGCAAAGACUUCAUUAAAGGUGCCCAUCUCUUCAAGACUAUAAACUCUUUAUACCUACUGGCAUCCGCUCAUGCAGUAACGGCGGCAUCACCUUUUGGCAUCUCAGCACCUGUGCCACUUCUAAGGCCACAAAAGACUUUGAGGACCUCCAGUGACGUAACUGGAACCCACGCACCCCUGCAUAAGUCGCAGGAUGGAGAGCCCAGCACUUAUACGCCUAAGGUGAGAGCUCACCAGGACAUUGGACUUUCGGAGAGUUGGCGAUUAGUGAGGAGGAAGUCCAGCCAAACGGUCAUUAACCCUUUUUUCUUCCACCUGCAGAAACCUUACCCUGCAAGCCAGACGGUCAAUAAGAGGAAGCCCAGUCCAGAGAGUCAUCCGAGCUCUACGCUUCUCAAUUGAAGAGACUAUAACAGUUCAGCCGGGACAAGUGCCUCUGUGGGAAUCAGGUGAGCGUUACACCUGGGUAUAGAGGCGAAAGAUUAAUCAAACCAUCUAGUAGCUGGUUACCUCUGAAUUUUCCCUCCGGAUAGCUGGCGCACGGAAACCCCAGUUUUAUCUGGUAAAGUGAAUGAUUAGAGUUCUUGGGGCCAAAAUGAUCUCAACCUAUUCUCAAACUUUAAAUGGUAAGAAGCCCGGCUCAUUGGCGUGGAGCCCGGCUGCAAGUGCCCAGUAGGCCACUCUUGGUAAGCAGAACUGAUGCUGUGGGAUGAACCGAAUGCUGGGUUAAGGUGCCCAAUGCCAACGCUCAUCAGACCCCAGAAAAGGUGUUGGUUGAUAUAGACAGCAGGACGGUGGCCGUGGAAGUCGGAAUCUGCUAAGGAGUGUGUAACAACUCACCUGCCGAAUCAGCUAGCCCUGAAAAUGGAUGCCGCUGGAUCAUCUGGCCCAUACCCGGUCGGCACUGAGAGCCGCGGGGGCUAAGCCGCAACGAGUAGGAGGGCCUCUCCGGUGUGCACGGAAGCCCGGAGCUGCCACAGGUGCAGAUCUUGGUGGUAGUAGCAAAUAUUCAAACGAGAACUUUGAAGGCCAAAGUGGAGAAGGGUUCCAUGAGAACAGUGGUUGAACAUGGGUCAGUCGGUCCUAAGAAAUGGUUGAGCGCCAUUGGGAAGGCAUGGUCGACGGCCUCCGUUGCCCUCAGCCGAUCGAAAGGGAGUCUGGUUCAGAUCCCUGAACCCGGAGUAGAGUAGAUGGGCGCCCUCGCGGCAUCCAGUGCGAUAAUGCAAACUAACCCAGAGAAGCUGUUGGGAUCCCCAGGGAGAGUUCUGUUGUAUUUGUAAUGGCUGGGCACCCUGGAAUGGGUUCGACCCGAGAGAGGGGCCCGAGCCUUGGAAAGCCUUGCAGUUCCUGCGGUGUCCGGUGAACUCUUGCUUGUCCUUGCAAAAGCAGGUGAGAUGCUGUAAAUCUCGUGCCGGGCCGUAGCCAUAUCUGCAGCAGUUCUCCAAGGGGAACAGCCUCUGUUACGUUGGAACAAUGUAGGUAAGGGAAGUUGACAAGUCGGAUCUGUAACUUCGGGAAGGGCUGGGUCGGUCGGGCUGGAGUGCGAAGCGGGGCUAGCCACACGCUGGGGCUGGAAGAGGCAUCUCCUCCCGGGGGUGGCACCGACUCUGGAUGUGAGCCAGCCCCUUCCUGUGGAUCGCCCCAGCUGUGGGGGUCACCACUCUACGUUCCCCUCCCUGGGUUCGGGGCUGGCGGUCUGCCUUGGCUGAUGCCUAGCAGCUGACUUAGAACUGGUGCGGACCAGGGGAAUCCGACUGUUAAAUGCAAACAAAGCACCGCAUAAGGCCCAUGGUGGGUGUUGAUACGAUUUCUGCCCAGUAAGUCAAAGUGAAGAAAUUCAAUGAAUCGCGGGUAAACGGUGAGAGUAAAUAUGACUCUCUUAAGGUAGCCAAGUGGCUCGUCAUCUAAUUAGUGACACACAUGAAUGGAUGAACAAGAUUCCCACAACCAAGGGAACAGGCUUGGCAGAAUCAGUGGGGACAGAACACCCAGAUGAGAGUCACUAUUGUCUGCCACUGUGAAGAGACAUGAGAGGUGUAGGAUAAUUGGGGGGAGGGGCCCUGUGGGUCUCGCUUCUGACUCAAAGGGCCUGGCACCUGCCGGGCACGACCCACUCGGUGGACAGUGGCAGGUAGGGAGUUUGACUGGGGCGGUACACCUGGCAAACCAUAAGGCAGGUGUUCUAAGGUGAGCUCAGGGAGGACAGAAAUCUUCCACGGAGCAGAAGGGCAAAAGCUUGCUUGAGCUCCAUUUUCAGUAUGAAUACAGACCGUGAAAGCGGGGCCUCAGGAUCCUUCUGACUUUUAGGGUUUCAAGCAGGGGGUAUCAGAAAAGUUACCAAAGGAAUAACUGGCUUGUGGCGGCCAAGUGUUCAUAGCAACGUCGUUUUUUGAUCCUUCAAUGUCUCUUCCUAUCAUUGUGAAGCAGAAUUCACCAAGCGUUGGAUUGUCCACCCACUAAUAGGGAACAUGAGUUGGGUUUAGACAGUCGUGAGACAAGCUAGUUUUACCCUAAUGAUGAUGUGUUGUUGCAUUAGUAAUUCUGCUCAGUAUGAGAGGAACCACAGGUUCAGACAAUUGGUGUAUGUGCUUGGCUGAGGAGCCAAUGGGGCGAAGCUACCAUCUGUGGGAAUAUGACUGAACGCCUCGAAGUCCGAAUCCCCCCUAACUGUAACAGUACUGCAGCGCUGUGGAGCCUCGGUUGGCCUAGGAUGGCCUAUGAUAGUGCGUAGAACCGAUCACCUCGUGACUCUAGUGUGAACAGAAGAGGGCCACCUCUUUUGCCCGUAGUGCACCACAUGUUUGU
rnacentral:rRNA from 1 species